UGGAUAAACUUUAUCGAAAAAGGUUAGGAAAGCAGGUGCUCUUAUUGGACGUCACGGGAGAAAUCCCGAUGGCUGAGAGGGUCAUACCCUUCCGAGCUGUGGAGCGUACCAACUUCACUUUGAUUAACAUCGAGUUGUAUGUUUCGCUGCUGUCUAAUGAGGCGCAGCAUCGGUCUGGACUCUGGACGGCCUGUCCAAGGGACUGGAACCCAAGGCUCUUCUUAGUCUAACAUGAUUGUUGUAACCUCGGCGGGUUGCUCAUUGGAUUUUGAUGGAAUUCAGUGACAGUCCACUCCUUAGGUCCAAGGUGCCUUCCAAUGGCAAUGAGGGUUCUCAUCUAGGGGAGUUCACAGUGGUGAGCUC
rnacentral:lncRNA from 1 species